UCAUCCUGUAUAAAUGAAUAAUAGUUUAAUUUAAAUAAGCCAAUGUUGUUUGGAGGUCGUUUAUCACUUCACAGCUCUCAUUCACAGUCAAGUCAUGUGGAACUACACAACUUCCUUUUUGUGCAUUGGAGCUGGAAAUCUCGUUGAGUUUGGGAGGCCUUACUUCUGCAUAUUUGAAUCUGGUGACCAAAUUAAACAUUGUUCUAACUGCAGUUACCAUCCUCAAAUACAAAAGUAAUUGAUACUCAGCAAUGAAAGCUGCAUGUGCAUGUAGGGGAGAGAAGGAGGUUUCACCAGACUGACAAAUGGAGUCAUGGUUCUGGGAAGGAGCAGGGUGUUGGGUGCACAUUUGUCACCUGGGAAUACUACCAGCAAGCCUCAUAUUUUUUCUGCAAUAAAUGCUGGAAAGGAAAAAGAAAUGCUGAAAAUGAUGAAGUAAUUCCAAUUCUGCUGAUAGAGACCUGGAAAUGCACUAGGGAAAAAUGACAAGAGUGUAACACACUGCUGCUGAUUAUGUCAUAAUGAUUAUUUUAUGCAGUUUGAAGAAGACUCACUGUUCUAAAGAACCAGCAUCCAUUUCCAGGAAAGAGCAGGGAUUCUCCAUCCAUACCUCCAUGGGAUGAACCACAUUGAAAAUAAUGAUUUCCUUCUAAUAGCUUACUCUACAUUAUAUAAAGAAUUCCUUGGGAUUCUAAAAAAACCCUAAUAAUAUAGUAAUAAUAACAACAGAGGUUUGUUUUUGCUAUUUGUAGUCUAAUAUUCAGAUUGUGAGCAGCUGUUUUGGAAGGCAAGAUGAGUGAAUAGAUGUGAAGUCGUCUUAGAAAUGUCCAGGCUUCCAAAAGAAAUUUCACUUUUAAAAGAAAAUAGCCUAAUGUGAACCACAUUAGAAUCAGCACAUCUAAUCCUACGGAGAAAAAGUGACCAUGGCUGUCUACACAUAUAGGCAGGUCAUUCAAGCUCAUUCAAAAAUUCCACUUUCACUGGUGGUCUGUCUGUGUCCACAUGGUGACAAAUGGCCCCGGCAGGGUUUUUGAGGUGUUGGCACCACCAGUGAGUGCCAGAUGGAAUGUGGUGAAAGUUCUGAUUUGUACCUUUCAGACUAAAGGUACUUUCCAGAAUGGACGGGUCCUUCUGGCUGCCUUUUGUAAGUGCAGCCACAGGUAUUCUGUUGAAGCCUGUGGGUGAGAAAGACAUAAACAGGUGCUAUAAAUUUGUCAGACCAGGAAGCCACAGGCCGUUUAGUAAAUGGUAAACCCAAUGGCCCAAAAGAACAAAGGGGUCUCUUUUCAUCAGAAUGAUCAGGCUCAUUCAACAAAUAUUUAUUGAGCACCCACUUUCUGCCAGAUGGAAGAGCCACUGACAAGGCCUCUUAUUUAAAGAGUGCCUGAAGUGAGGAAGCAAACCCCCAAAUCAUCUGGGAUGGUAUGAACUGAACUCUGGACCGCAACAUGAUGGAAAGGAGGAGCUGGGGUCCCAAGGGCAGUCCAGACAACCUGAACCUGUGACACUCACCCUGCCCACACACUCUCAGAGCUGCAGCUUUCACGGGGGUGACAUGAAUGCUUGUAAAUGAGCUUGCUGAAUGGGAGACCAAGAACGAUGAUAUUGAGCUGUUACUACAUGCCAGACAUUUAACCCUUUCAUCCAGGUUAUCUCAAUCAUUCCUUACAGAAAGGCUUUUGAGAUGUCCUUGCAACUGGAGGUGCCAUAUGAUACAGUUCUGCCCAAAGACAAGAAAGUGAAUGUCUGUUGAGGGCUUCCUAUAAGGCCAAUACAUACAGGUGUUCCCAACAACAGACCUUGGCCUCUCUUCCUCAGUGUACUGAAUCAGCUUUUGCUAUAAUUUUGGUGACUCAUAUUGGCCCUGAUCAUUAUUGGAAUCCCGUAAGUUUCAUAUUCUGCUCCAAGAAACAUUUGGAUAAAUUGAGAAAAACUAAUAGCCUUUCAUGGUAAUAACAGUCUACUCCCUUCAUGAUGUCAACAAAUGCUAUCAGAGUCCACACAAGACCUCCCAAACAUUUCUGAUGAUCAGAGACAAGAUACCGUCUUAUAUACCAAAAACCUCAGAUGGAAAAGCUCCUGCCAUCCUGGGCAGCACAUGGUAGAGGGGAGGCAGCCACUGACCUUCUGGGUAAUCUGUCAUGACGACCUGAUAGCAGACCGGCAGGAUGCUCCAAACUGUCACCAAAGAUGUCACGAGUGCUUCUGAGGCUCAAGAAUCUAAUUUUCCUUACUUAAAAUAAAAGGACUGAAUGCUGGAUGAAUAACCCUUUUUUUCACCCCCUAAACAAAUCUCAUAGGGAAUCCUAAUAUAUAAAAUAACCAAAGUGCAAGCCCUGGGUUAAAGCCGAGGAUGGGUGCUAGAGAUGGGCUAGAGCAUGUCUGCUUAGCUUUCUUCCACUAUCCCAGCCAUUUAAAGACCACAAGUUAGCUUCCUGGAAUUCAGUUUGACAAACACUUAGGCUAGAUCAUUGUCAGGGGACCUUCAUUUCAAGCUCCAUGGAGUAGGUCGGGGACUCUGCCUUGGUCAUCCCUGAAUCCCCACAGCCAUGGUUCUAGCACACAGUAAGCACUAAAAACCAAAACCCAAAAACCCGUAUGAUAAUGUAUGUCUACAGACAUUCGAUGAAUGGAUGAAUAAAAGAUUUUUCAGAUACCAUGAGAUGUGUUUAUCUAUUUAAGAUUAUAACUCCAUUGACCAAUAGAGUUGGGUUUUAAGCUAUAACCCCCCAAUCUGACCAU
rnacentral:lncRNA from 10 species